GGAAUUUCGUUUUCGUAACGCAAACCAACUCGUUGGGAAAUAUAUUUGAGGCAACCACAGAAUUAACUCACUUUGCUUGCAGUCAAGAUAGCUGCCGAUACAUUCAUCAAUUGAUCGUCCGUUUCUCUUCACUGAAUCCGGGUUUGAGCAACAGAAAUGGAUAAGCAACAGAGAAGUGGAAGAGUCUGUAUCAAACACAGUAUAGAUUUCCAGUUAAUGGGUGACAGUAAAAAAGCCAUUGAUUACCUUAAAACACAGUUGACGACUGCAAUAGAAGAUGGUGAUCGGGAACGAGAAGGAGGAGCCUAUAGAAGUCUCGGUAAAGCGUACCAGUUAAUGGGUGACUAUC